rnacentral:rRNA from 1 species
CUAAUACCGCAUAAUGUCGCAAGACCAAAGUGGGGGACCUUCGGGCCUCAUGCCAUCAGAUGUGCCCAGAUGGGAUUAGCUAGUAGGUGGGGUAAUGGCUCACCUAGGCGACGAUCCCUAGCUGGUCUGAGAGGAUGACCAGCCACACUGGAACUGAGACACGGUCCAGACUCCUACGGGAGGCAGCAGUGGGGAAUAUUGCACAAUGGGCGCAAGCCUGAUGCAGCCAUGCCGCGUGUGUGAAGAAGGCCUUCGGGUUGUAAAGCACUUUCAGCGGGGAGGAAGGCGUUAAGGUUAAUAACCUUGGCGAUUGACGUUACCCGCAGAAGAAGCACCGGCUAACUCCGUGCCAGCAGCCGCGGUAAUACGGAGGGUGCAAGCGUUAAUCGGAAUUACUGGGCG